AUUUGGUCUUGAGGUCUGUCUUUGGAGAAUGGCCAUAAACCAUAAUACUGCCUUAGUGGGGGUCCAGGGAAUUUUUUUUUUUUAGAGGCAGGGUCUCCCUAUGUUGCCCAGGCUGGUCUUGAGCUCCUGGGCUCAAGCAGUCCUCCCACCUCGGCCUCCCAAAGUGCUGAGAUUACAGACCUGAGGCACUGCACCUGUCGUCUCUGGGGAAUUUGGUCAUGUACGUUUACAGUGUGCCUUUCACAUGCUACUUUUUUAUCCAGGUGGAUGAUCCAAUGCCUAAGUGUCUAGCCACUUCCUCUUGGCACUGAGAAGCUGAAUCUGCGCGAUCCUCAGAUCAACCUCGGUCUCUCUGGCUGGAUAUUUAUUGGGUUCUGCCUGAAAGGCCGUCUAACGCCUUUCCUCUUGGAAAAGUCGCAGGAACAGAAUCUUGUUCUGUUGCCCAGGCUGCUCUUGAACUCUUGGCUUCAAGAGAUCCUCUUGCCUUGGCCUCCAAAAGUGCUGGGAUGAAUCUCUGUCAUGGUGGCAUGAGCCACCAUGCCUGGCCCAGAUCCUGAAUUCUAGCAGGACAGCUCAUGCCCACCAGUCUGAAGACACCAAAAGGAGAACUGACUCAAUGCAAGAAUGCAAUUUCUUUAGUUCCAUGACGUCACCCUUCAUUCUUCAACCAAUCAGUGAUCCUUAUACCUUGGCCCACUAACCAUCCAAACCCCUUAAAAUCCCUAGAUCCUAAACUCCUUGAGGAGGUGGAUUUGAGGUUUCCUCCAGUCUCCUUGUUUGGCUGCCUUGUGAUUAAACCUCUUUCUCUGCUGCAAUUCUUUGUGUCUUGGUGUAUUUACUUACCACACAUUGGACAUUUUACCAAGAACUAAAAAUAGAACUACCAUUUGACCCAGCAGUCCCACUACUGGGCAUCUACUCAAAGGAAAAGAAAUCAUUCUAUCAAAAAGACACCUGUACUCCUAUGUUUAUUGCAGUACUAUUCAAAAUAGCAAAGUCUAUUUAUGUUAUAAUCAGAUUUGUAUUACAACUGUUUUAUAUUACAAUAGCUUUAUAUUAUAAAUAUAAUUAUGUAACCUAUAUAUAGUACUCAGUUACAAUUGUUUGUGUGUGUGUAACUAUGUCUGUGUUGUAAAAAUUAUUCUACCAAAAUGGGAAUGGUAGGUAGAAAGUAUAUGCAGAUAAUUUUGUCUAACAAUUUUGUCUUUCAUUUUUGUCCAACAAAUGCACUGUUUACCUUUUGCCACCGUACUCUCUGCCUCAGAGGGCUGACCUUUGUGGACUGUUUCAUGAGUAGCCUUUGACUUUUGGCUUACAGCUGGUUUAAUCACUGGGGAGGAUCACCAGGAGACCUAGAGACUGGGAGGUGAAUGAGGGAGGGUGGUUGCUGUCCUGGGAAGUGAAUGAGGGAGGGUGCUUACUGUCCCAGAUCUUUCCCUGUCGAUUCUCUAUGGGUUACCAAGUACCCUAGCAAAUUUCACAGCUCCUCUCAGAUGGCCCUCUCCCAUACAGCUGUUCUCAAUAGGUUUCCAUAAACAUUGCCUUCCAGGCUAGAUGUAGUAAUAGUUCCCUGGUGUUGCAAACUGUAGGGAACCUACUAUUGCUUAUUGCUUUCCCUAAAUACUAUCUGCACAUUUUGCUGGAAUUCUGACUGAGAUAUGUACUCCUUUUUCUUCAAAUAGAUUAACUCAUGCUUUCAAGUCUUAUAAAUCUCUUAUUACUAAAUAUUGGAGAAAUUUCCUACCAUAAAGCUCCUACAUUGAUUCACCUAUAUUGUUUAAAUAAGAGGCCAAUGCUCUAAUUUCCAAUUACCUCUGAGCCUCUCUGGCAUCCAGCUCACAUUAUAGGUAGUCAGAAUUUAAGAUAUCUUUCAUUCAUUGUUUGGGUUGGACAUUUCAUCUUCCCAUAAGUAGAAACAUUUCAACAAAAAUGUGAAGUGUUGUGAUAUUUGCAUCCUAACUUCAAAUGGUUGAGAACAAAAUUUUCAAAGAAAAUGAGAAUACAAAAAUAAAAAAGUGAUUAAUCCA
rnacentral:lncRNA from 10 species